rnacentral:misc_RNA from 1 species
GAUGAAGAACGCAGCGAAAUGCGAAAAGUAGUGUGAAUUGCAGAAUUCAGUGAAUCAUCGAAUCUUUGAACGCACAUUGCGCCCGCCAGUAUUCUGGCGGGCAUGCCUGUUCGAGCGUCAUUUCAACCAUCAAGCCCCCGGCUUGUGUUGGGGACCUGCGGCUGCCGCAGGCCCUGAAAACCAGUGGCGGGCUCGCUAGUCACUCCGAGCGUAGUAAUACAUCUCGCUCAGGGCGUGCUGCGGGUUCCGGCCGUUAAAAAGCCUUAUUUACCCAAGGUUGACCUCGGAUCAGGUAGGAAGACCCGCUGAACUUAAGCAUAUCAAUAAGCGGAGGA